UACGGAGGGUGCAAGCGUUAUCCGGAUUCACUGGGUUUAAAGGGUGCGUAGGUGGGCAGGUAAGUCAGUGGUGAAAUCUCCGGGCUUAACUCGGAAACUGCCAUUGAUACUAUCUGUCUUGAAUACCGUGGAGGUCAGCGGAAUAUGUCAUGUAGCGGUGAAAUGCUUAGAUAUGACAUAGAACACCAAUUGCGAAGGCAGCUGGCUACACGAAUAUUGACACUGAUGCACGAAAGCGUGGGGAUC
rnacentral:rRNA from 1 species